CUUUGGGAAACAUGUGUUUCACAUGCAACCAAUAGCUCUGUGCAUUGAACUUAGAGAAUCUUACAUAUCAUUGCCUUCCUUUUCCAGCAAACACUCUGGGAACAAGAACUGUACUGUGUAUGUAUGUUCAGCACCCAACAAGUGAAGGUGCCUACUCAAUUCCGUUUCAGACAACAAAAUAUAAAGUGGAGGUAGAGCGCAGACAGCUGUGACGCUAAUUGCAACACUCAGGAGAAUGCAUUGCUUUAUUCUUCAGGUAGAAGAGUUUUGCUGCAGCAUUCCCACACUGCUGCGUUCUUCCCGCUUCCUUUUGUAUCAGCCGCAGCAUGGAAGGAAGUCAGAAGGCAAAUCAGUCUUCCGUAAGCUCUUCAGUCCUCACCAUUUCUGCUAAGACUGGCAGUAGCAAUUCGUGACAAUUGUGGCAGUUGUUUCAGGCCCUUGGGCGAGGGACGCAGAGCAGGUGGGGAUACGCGGGGAGAGGGAACGCAGCAGCGAACCAUCUGAGAAUUAGACCUGGGCACUCCUCUCCCCAUUUUGUCGUUUCAGAGUGGCCUGCUGACUGUCACGGGAUGGGAACGCAACUGGAUUUGGUUUGAGUCAGGAACCUGAAAACGAACAUUUCGGUAUCCUUCAUCCUGAGCCAGCCAGACCAUUCUCAACAGGAGUCCAGAAUAAACACAUGAAAUGUGCUUAGAGGCA
rnacentral:lncRNA from 1 species